rnacentral:rRNA from 1 species
UGGUACGGUGUGAAAAACUCCGGUGGUAUGAGAUGGACCCGCGUCUGAUUAGCUAGUUGGCGGGGUAACGGCCCACCAAGGCGACGAUCAGUAGCCGACCUGAGAGGGUGAUCGGCCACAUUGGGACUGAGACACGGCCCAAACUCCUACGGGAGGCAGCAGUGGGGAAUAUUGCACAAUGGGGGAAACCCUGAUGCAGCAACGCCGCGUGAGUGAAGAAGUAUUUCGGUAUGUAAAGCUCUAUCAGUAGGGAAGAAAAUGACGGUACCUGACUAAGAAGCCCCGGCUAACUACGUGCCAGCAGCCGCGGUAAUACGUAGGGGGCAAGCGUUAUCCGGAUUUACUGGGUGUAAAGGGAGCGUAGACGGCAGCGCAAGUCUGAAGUGAAAGCCCGGGGCUCAACCCCGGAAUGGCUUUGGAAACUGUGCAGCUAGAGUACCGGAGGGGUAAGCGGAAUUCCUAGUGUAGCGGUGAAAUGCGUAGAUAUUAGGAGGAACACCAGUGGCGAAGGCGGCUUACUGGACGGUAACUGACGUUGAGGCUCGAAAGCGUGGGGAGCAAACAGGAUUAGAUACCCUGGUAGUCCACGCGGUAAACGAUGAAUGCUAGGUGUUGGUGAGCAAAGCUCAUCGGUGCCGCCGCAA